rnacentral:miRNA from 1 species
AAACACUUCAACCUUUCUCCUCU